AAGAAUGAUAAAAAUAUGAAAGAUUAAGUAUGGCUGUUGAACCAUUUCAAUUUUCCAUACAUAUUUAACUAUAAUUGUCGAAAUGUAAUCUCUAAAAUACAAAUGUAAUGAAAAUUUGCAGAUAAAAAGUUGGUGAAGAAAGAAGAUCAAGAAUCUUUCAAAUGUGAAAGAAAAUGGCACAAUCAGUUAAAAGUCUUCAAAGAACAUGGACUAGACAAAGCAGCACUUGCAGCGAGUGAAGAGUGUAAACUUUGUCACUACCAUGCUAAUUACACGAGUUCAGAAAUUUGUGACGCAGUGGAAGAGACAUACGACGACCUGUUAAAUGACAUGGAAGCUUUUGACAGAAGAUCAGAUAAUAAAACGAGCACCGCAUCAACAAGGAAGAAAUCUUCCACACUCCUUCAAUAUAUAUAAAUAUCACUCUUAACGUUCAUAUUCCAGAUAGAAGAAAAUCAAACUGUCGAUACAUGCUUUCGUUUUUAACCUUAAUAAUUCGAGUUGAUCACCAUAUGUAACAUGUGAAUAACCAAAUCGCAGAGAAAUCUUGAUUAAAGAUAUCAAUAAUGCAUCACAUACGCGGAGAACUUCGUCCGUUUCCGACUGUCCGAUAGAUUUGGAAAUUGGAACAAGAUAGAAUAUAUAUGAGCAAGAUAUUACACACUGGCCGAGGUUCCGAGCAGUAUCGAAUUUCUGUGGUGCAGAAGGUCGACGUUGUUCGGUUCGAGUAAGGUGCUCUGCUACGGGAGCCAUGAAUGGGCUCGAGGAUGCUGAAUCCUUGCACAACAUCUGGCCCUCCGAUCCUCCCGCGUUACCUUCUUAUUGUUAGUUCAUCGUGCAUCCGAAAACCCGUACCGGAUGACCGCGCACCGCCCCACCGAUAAACAUAACCAAAAAAAGUCAGUUAAAAACGAUAGAAAUGGAGGUUAAUACGGCUCAAAAAUAAAAUAAAACAAUUUUGCAACAAAGUGGAAAGAAUUGAAAAAUUUAGAAAGUGGCGGCAAUUUAAAUAGUUUUGUUGUCAGAGGAAUGAAAAGAUUGAUCUUGAUUGAAAAGAUCGACCAACUUGAAAUGCAAAUCGUAUAUAAGCAGCAGGCGAGGUACGUACGGUGGAACGGUCCGAAAAGAGGAGAAGAACGGUGAACGCGAAACGAGGCUAACGCAGGGUGGCUUCUGGCUCAUUGGGCAGACGUACAAAUUC